GACGUAGGGCGCGAGCGUUGUCCGGAUUUAUUGGGCGUAAAGAGCUCGUAGGCGGCUUGUUGCGUCGACUGUGAAAACCCGCGGCUUAACUGCGGGCUUGCAGUUGAUACGGGCAGGCUAGAGUUCGGUAGGGGAGACUGGAAUUCCUGGUGUAGCGGUGAAAUGCGUAGAUAUUCGCAAGAACACCAGUGGCGAGGGCGGCUCACUGGCCCGGAACUGACGCUGAGACGCGAAAGCGUGGGGGGAGCAAACAGG
rnacentral:rRNA from 1 species